rnacentral:tRNA from 1 species
GCCGUCGUAGCUCAGUUGGUAGAGCGCCUGCUUUGUAUCCAGGAUGUCAGGGGUUCGAGGCCUCUCGACGGCACCA